rnacentral:rRNA from 1 species
AAUCAACGCUGGCGGCGUGCCUCAGACAUGCAAGUCGAACGAUUAAAGCUCUCUUCGGAGAGUGUAUAGAGUGGCGCACGGGUGAGUAACACGUAAGUAAUCUACCCUCGAGUGGGGAAUAACAACCGGAAACGGUUGCUAAUACCGCAUAAUGCAGCGGCACCGCAAGGUGACAGUUGUUAAAGAUUUAUCGCUUGAGGAGGAGCUUGCGGCAGAUUAGCUAGUUGGUAGGGUAACGGCUUACCAAGGCUACGAUCUGUAACCGGUCUAAGAGGACGGUCGGUCACACUGACACUGAAUAACGGGUCAGACUCCUACGGGAGGCAGCAGUCGGGAAUUUUGGGCAAUGGGCGAAAGCCUGACCCAGCAACGCCGCGUGAAGGAUGAAGUAUUUCGGUAUGUAAACUUACGAAAGAAUAAGGAAGAAAUUAA